rnacentral:rRNA from 1 species
GGGGCCCGCACAAGCGGUGGAGCAUGUGGUUUAAUUUCGAUGCAACGCGAAGAACCUUACCUGGGCUUGACAUCCCGGGAAUCCCUUGGAAACAAGGGAGUGCCCUUCGGGGAACCUGGAGACAGGUGCUGCAUGGCUGUCGUCAGCUCGUGUCGUGAGAUGUAGGGUUAAGUCCCGCAACGAGCGCAACCCUUGUCUUUAAUUGCCAUCAUUGAGUUGGGCACUUUAAAGAGACUGCCGGUGUUAAACCGGAGGAAGGUGGGGAUGACGUCAAGUCCUCAUGGCCUUUAUGCCCAGGGCUACACACGUGCUACAAUGGGUGGUACAAAGGGUUGCCAACCCGCGAGGGGGAGCCAAUCCCAUAAAGCCAGUCGUAGUCCGGAUCGCAGUCUGCAACUCGACUGCGUGAAGUCGGAAUCGCUAGUAAUCGUGGAUCAGCAUGUCACGGUGAAUACGUUCCCGGGUCUU